rnacentral:lncRNA from 10 species
AGAGGCUGCCUGCAUUCCUUGUCAUGUGGCCUGCUCCAUCUUCAAGCCACAAUAGCUCAUUAAAUAUUUCUAGUGCUUCAGAUUUCUAGCUUUCUCUUUUUCCAUCAACCAAAAAUCUUUCUGCUUUUAAAAGGUUCAUGUGGCUAAUCUCCCUUUCUUUAAGUCAACUGUUUCAUAUAACAUAAGCUAAUCAUAAGAGUAAAACCCAUCAUAUUUACAGUCCCAGGGCAUUUUAGAAUUCUGCCUGCUGCAGCUUCAUUGGUCAAUUCUAUCAACUGUAGUUACAAUAGCCAAAACAAUUUUGAAAAAAAAGAAUAAAUUUGAGGAUUUAUACCAUCUGAUUUCAAAACUUGCUAUAUAGCUACAGAAAUCAAGACACUGUUGUAUUGGCAUAAAGAUAGGCAUAUAGCUUAACAGAAUAGAAUCGACAGAAAUAGAGUUUAUAUUUACAUUUGAAGGUUUUACAUUUAUAGUCAAUUUUUGACAAAGGUACCAACAUCGUUCAAUAGAGAA